GGGAAUGUGGCUUAGUGGUAGAGUGCUUGCCUGGCAUGCAUGAAGCCCUGGGUUCGAUUCCUCAGUACCU
rnacentral:tRNA from 1 species